rfam:Triticum aestivum genome assembly, contig: Triticum_aestivum_CS42_TGACv1_scaffold_031735_1BL
UGAAUACUCCUUCCAUCCCAAAAUUCUUGUCUUAGAUUUGUCUAAAUACGGAUGUAUCAAGUCAUGUUUUAGUAUUAGGUACAUCUGUAUCUAUAAAAAUAUAAGACAAGAAUUUUGGGAUGGAGGGAGUACAUG